CGGGUGACGGAGAAUUGGGGUUCGAUUCCGGAGAGGGAGCCUGAGAAACGGCUACCACAUCCAAGGAAGGCAGCAGGCGCGCAAAUUACCCAAUCCCGACUCGGGGAGGUAGUGACAAUAAAUAACAAUGCCGGGCUAUCUUUAGUCUGGCAAUUGGAAUGAGAACAAUGUAAAUACCUUAACGAGGAACAAUUGGAGGGCAAGUCUGGUGCCAGCAGCCGCGGUAAUUCCAGCUCCAAUAGCGUAUAUUAAAGUUGUUGCAGUUAAAAAGCUCGUAGUUGGAUUUCGGGGCAGGAGGUCCGGUCCGCCGAAAGGUAGGUACUGGACGCCAGCCCUUUUUCUCGAAGGCCCCAUCUGCUCUUCACUGAGUGGUAGGGGAGUUCGGGACGUUUACUUUGAAAAAAUUAGAGUGUUCAAGGCAGGCCGUCGCUUGAAUACGUUAGCAUGGAAUAAUGGAAUAGGACUUCGGUUCUAUUUCGUUGGUUUCUGGGACCGAAGUAAUGAUUAAGAGGGACAGUUGGGGGCAUUCGUAUUCAAUUGUCAGAGGUGAAAUUCUUGGAUUUAUGGAAGACGAACAACUGCGAAAGCAUUUGCCAAGGAUGUUUUCAUUAAUCAAGAACGAAAGUUG
rnacentral:rRNA from 1 species